rnacentral:rRNA from 1 species
UACGGUGAAUACGUUCCCGGACCUUGCACACACCCGCCCGUCAAGCCAUGGAAGCCGGGUGUACCUAAAGUCGGUAACCGUAAGGAGCCGCCUAGGGGUAAAACUGGUGACUGGGGCU